rnacentral:rRNA from 1 species
GCGGAGGAAAAGAAACCAACAGGGAUUGCCCUAGUAACGGCGAGUGAAGCGGCAACAGCUCAAAUUUGAAAUCUGGCCCUUUCAGGGUCCGAGUUGUAAUUUGUAGAGGGUGCUUUGGCGUUGGCUGUGGUCUAAGUUCCUUGGAACAGGACGUCGCAGAGGGUGAGAAUCCCGUAUGUGGCCGCCAGUCUUCGCCGUGUAAAGCCCCUUCGACGAGUCGAGUUGUUUGGGAAUGCAGCUCUAAAUGGGAGGUAAAUUUCUUCUAAAGCUAAAUAUUGGCCAGAGACCGAUAGCGCACAAGUAGAGUGAUCGAAAGAUGAAAAGCACUUUGGAAAGAGAGUCAAAAAGCACGUGAAAUUGUUGAAAGGGAAGCGCUUGCAGCCAGACUUGCCUGUAGUUGCUCAUCCGGGCUUUUGCCCGGUGCACUCUUCUAUGGGCAGGCCAGCAUCAGUCCCAGCGGUUGGAUAAAUGUCUGUUGAACGUACCUCUCUUCGGGGAGGACUUAUAGCUUCAGGCGGCAUACAACCAGCCGGGAUUGAGGUCCGCGCAUCUGCUAGGAUGCUGGCGUAAUGGCUGUAAGCGGCCCGUCUUGAAACACGGACCAAGGAGUCUAWCAUCUAUGCGAGUGUUUGGGUGUCAAGCCCGAGCGCGUAAUGAAAGUGAACGGAGGUGGGAACCCCUCGGGGCGCACCAUCGACCGAUCCUGAUGUCUUCGGAUGGAUUUGAGUAAGAGCAUAGCUGUYGGGACCCGAAAGAUGGUGAACUAUGCCUGAAUAGGGUGAAGCCAGAGGAAACUCUGGUGGAGGCUCGCAGCGGUUCUGACGUGCAAAUCGAUCGUCAAAUUUGGGCAUAGGGGCGAAAGACUAAUCGAACCAUCUAGUAGCUGGUUCCUGCCGA